GAGUUUGAUCCUGGCUCAGAACGAACGCUGGCGGCAUGCCUAAUACAUGCAAGUCGAACGAGAUCUUCGGGUCUAGUGGCGCACGGGUGCGUAACGCGUGGGAAUCUGCCCUUGGGUUCGGAAUAACGUCGGGAAACUGACGCUAAUACCGGAUGAUGACGAAAGUCCAAAGAUUUAUCGCCCAGGGAUGAGCCCGCGUAGGAUUAGCUAGUUGGUGAGGUAAAGGCUCACCAAGGCUACGAUCCUUAGCUGGUCUGAGAGGAUGAUCAGCCACACUGGGACUGAGACACGGCCCAGACUCCUACGGGAGGCAGCAGUAGGGAAUAUUGGACAAUGGGGGCAACCCUGAUCCAGCAAUGCCGCGUGAGUGAUGAAGGCCUUAGGGUUGUAAAGCUCUUUUACCCGAGAUGAUAAUGACAGUAUCGGGAGAAUAAGCUCCGGCUAACUCCGUG
rnacentral:rRNA from 1 species